AGAAUCACUGAUGACUACAGGUGGGGUUUGAGCCACAUAGAUGACCACGUGCCUGGAACUCUGAGGUCCAC